rnacentral:rRNA from 1 species
CGGGACAGCCUCGGGAAACCGUGGGUAAUACCGGAUACUCCGGGACGGCCGCAUGGCCGGCCCGGGAAAGCCCAGACGGGAGGGGAUGGGCCCGCGGCCUGUUAGCUAGUCGGCGGGGUAACGGCCCACCGAGGCGAUUAUGGGUAGCCGGGUUGAGAGACCGACCGGCCAGAUUGGGACUGAGACACGGCCCAGACUCCUACGGGAGGCAGCAGUGGGGAAUCUUGCGCAAUGGGCGGAAGCCUGACGCAGCGACGCCGCGUGCGGGACGAAGGCCUUCGGGUCGUAAACCGCUUUCAGCAGGGACGAGGCCCUCACGGUGACGGUACCUGCAGAAGAAGCCCCGGCUAACUACGUGCCAGCAGCCGCGGUAAUACGUAGGGGGCGAGCGUUAUCCGGAUUCAUUGGGCGUAAAGCGCGCGUAGGCGGCCUGUUAGGUCGGGGGUCAAAUACCGGGGCUCAACCCCGGUCCGCCCCCGAUACCGGCAGGCUUGAGUCUGGUAGGGGAAGGCGGAAUUCCCAGUGUAGCGGUGGAAUGCGCAGAUAUUGGGAAGAACACCGGCGGCGAAGGCGGCCUUCUGGGCCACGACUGACGCUGAGGCGCGAAAGCUAGGGGAGCGAACAGGAUUAGAUACCCUGGUAGUCCUAGCCGUAAACGAUGAA